rnacentral:rRNA from 1 species
GACGAAGGGUGCUAGCGUUGCUCGGAAUGACUGGGCGUAAAGGGCGCGUAGGCGGAUGGCUUUGUCGGGCGUGAAAUUCCAGGGCUUAACCUUGGGGCUGCGUUCGAGACGGGUUGUCUUGAGUGGGGAAGAGGGUCGUGGAAUUCCCAGUGUAGAGGUGAAAUUCGUAGAUAUUGGGAAGAACACCGGUGGCGAAGGCGGCGACCUGGUCCUUUACUGACGCUGAGGCGCGAAAGCGUGGGGAGCAAACAGG